AAAAUAAUCCUACCCUUUGUGAAUUUUGUUUGUUUGAAUAAUUUUUUUUUUUAAAAAAUUAUUGGAGUCUUUCCCUUUAGAGUUUGCUUUUGAGUUUGUAAAAGAAUUCGAAAACAUCUAAAGGGGAUGGUCAAUAAUUUUUUUUGAAAAAAGACAUUUUUUAAAAUUAAACUUUUUGUAUUCAUUUGUCUAAAAAUUAUUUUUUAUAAUAUAAAAACAACUUUUGACAAUGGAUCUCUUGGUUCUCGCAACGAUGAAGAACGCAGCAAAAUGCGAUAAGUAGUGUGAAUUGCAGAAUACGUGAAUCAUCGAAUCUUUGAACGCAUAUUGCACUUUUUUAGUUUACUAAAAAAGUAUGUCUGUUUGAGUAUCAGUAAAGUAUUCUCAUAAAAAUCAUUGUGUAUUUCUAUGGUUAUGAGUGUUUUACAACGAUACAAGUUGUUUCACUUUAAAUUUUUUUUUUAAUAUUGAAAUUUUUCUAAUUUUAAUAAUUAAAAUUGGAUAAAAUUUUCCCGUCAAAAGGAAUAACCUAAACAAUUUUAAAUGAUUAAUUUUAGCAAAAUUUUCGUAAAAAAGGAAAAUUUUUAUUAAAAUAACUUGAUCUCAAAUCAGAUAAGAGUACCCGCUGAACUUAAGCAUAUCAAUAAGCGGAGGAAAAGAAACUAACAAGGAUUCCCUUAGUAACGGCGAGUGAAGCGGGAAGAGCUCAAAUUUGAAAUCUUCAAGGUUUUACCUUGACGAAUUGUAGUUUAAAGAAGUGUUUUCUGCUGAAGUUUUGGUAAAAGUUCUUUGGAAUAGGACAUCAUAGAGGGUGAGAAUCCCGUAUUUGACCAUUAUUUUCAGCUUUGUGAUACACUCUCAAAGAGUCGGAUUGUUUGGGAAUGCAGUCCAAAAUGGGUGGUAAAUUUCAUCUAAAGCUAAAUAUUGGCGAGAGACCGAAAGCGAACAAGUACCGUGAGGGAAAGAUGAAAAGAACUUUGAAAAGAGAGUUAAACAGUACGUGAAAUUGUCAAAAGGGAAGCGUUAGACACCAGUGUUGUUUUCUCGAAAAUCAAUUAAAAAUGGCUCGAUUUUGUAUUGCUGAGACCUUAAAAGCUCACUGUACAUUUUUCGUGUCUUUUUAAUGCACUUUUCGUUUAACAAGUCAACAUCAGUUUCUUUUGUUGUAAAAGGGUCAUUGGAAGGUGGCUUUCUUUUCGGAGAAAGUGUUUAUAGCCUUUGGCCUCUGCAAUCGGAGAGACUGAGGUCUGCAGCGUAGACUCUUCGGGGUUAGAUACAUUUGUGCUAAGUUAUAGCUUUUUAUAGACAACUUGUUGACUAUAAUUAGUCUUGUAGCUUACUCGCUUAUGCUAUUUUACC
rnacentral:misc_RNA from 1 species